ACUGUAUGGGAAUGCAUUGUACGUAUAUGUACAUUCCACACAACAUAUACUGUACAUGUAUAUGACUUACACUGUCCAGUCUUGCGCAAGGUCACUUCAUGCCCUUUGACACACGUACUGAGCUAGUGGUCAGCACACAGCAUAUACUGUACAUGUAAAUAUGACCUUGCCUCAACCAGAAAAACCGUUAGGCCACAUUGCGCUAGCCUGCAUGCAGUUCAGUUCUACUACUCAUUCAAAAUGGUUAAAGACGGAGCAGGCACAAAUGUACAUCGUCUUCUCGAAAAAACACUGAUUACAUGUAUUGUAUUCAGUUCCAAAUCCGCGUCCAAAAGCAUCACACAUGUCUGUAAACAUACAGAUUAGUCAGAGUUAAUAUUCCUGCAGCACCACGGUCUUUGCGGAAUGGGAGAUAGUUUGGACAGAACCUUUCGUUUCUGGAGCCCUGUUCUUUCAAACCUGGCAGUAUGUUGUAGGCCUUACUGGGAGCCAUGGAGACAAUGGAACAGUCAAGCGAUACGUGAGGAGAGGAGUUUUGCAACAGAGACGGGUGCGACAGUGACGGGAAAAGGCUCAGGAGACACUAGAAGCACGUUUAUAUAGGAACAAUCUGCAGCAAAUUAAGUGACUCGGAGUGUAAUUGUUAUGACCAUUUGAAGCACGCGAACUGGAUAUCAAAACAGUGACGUUAUUUCUGCAAGGCUUCAAUGUUACAGCUUUGAUGUUUUUCAUCUUUGAUUCGAUAAAACUUCACCAGUACAUGAAAGUUCUGUGCUUCUCAGGACCUGUUUCCCCAGGUCUGCACAUUUCUCCAUUUUUUUGUCAAUAUUAUGAUGAUCUGAGACCGAAUGUUAAUUGCCCUGGAUUUAUCAAGCCAUUGAAGUUUCCUGUAAAUUUACUCACUGAGAUAUUGAGACGAGUUUCAUAAUUUAAACGAAUAGGCUAGCUUUACUGUUUUAGCGUGGAUUGUGGCCUAAUUAUGAAACGAGAGGCAUUAAACUCAAACCAAAACCUUCCCUCUUUUAUCCUCAACAUUCAAAUUUACAUGUAAGU
rnacentral:lncRNA from 1 species